GAUGAACGCUGGCGGCGUGCCUAAUACAUGCAAGUCGAGCGAACGGACGAGAAGCUUGCUUCUCUGAUGUUAGCGGCGGACGGGUGAGUAACACGUGGAUAACCUACCUAUAAGACUGGGAUAACUUCGGGAAACCGGAGCUAAUACCGGAUGAUAUUUUGAAACGCAUGGUUCAAAAGUGAAAGACGGUCUUGCUGUCACUUAUAGAUGGAUCCGCGCUGCAUUAGCUAGUUGGUAAGGUAACGGCUUACCAAGGCAACGGUGCAUAGCCGACCUGAGAGGGUGAUCGGCCACACUGGGACUGAGACACGGUCCAGACUCCUACGGGAGGCAGCAGUAGGGAAUCUUCCGCAAUGGGCGAAAGCCUGACGGAGCAACGCCGCGUGAGUGAUGAAGGUCUUCGGAUCGUAAAACUCUGUUAUUAGGGAAGAACAUAUGUGUAAGUAACUGUGCACAUCUUGACGGUACCUAAUCAGAAAGCCACGGCUAACUACGUG
rnacentral:rRNA from 1 species